UACGGAGGGGGCGAGCGUUGUCCGGAGUUACUGGGCGUAAAGCGCUUGUAGGCGGUCCACCAAGUUUGGGGUGACAGUUGCCGACUUAAUCGGCAAAGUGCCUCAAAGACUGGCGGACUUGAGGGCCACAGAGGGACAUGGAACUCCAGGUGUAGUGGUGAAAUGCGCAGAUAUCUGGAAGAACACCAAAGGCGAAGGCAGUGUCCUGGGUGGUCGCUGACGCUGAGGCGCGAAAGCUAGGGGAGCGAACAGG
rnacentral:rRNA from 1 species